GAUGAACGCUGGCGGCGUGCCUAAUACAUGCAAGUCGAGCGAACGGACGAGAAGCUUGCUUCUCUGAUGUUAGCGGCGGACGGGUGAGUAACACGUGGAUAACCUACCUAUAAGACUGGGAUAACUUCGGGAAACCGGAGCUAAUACCGGAUAAUAUUUUGAACCGCAUGGUUCAAAAGUGAAAGACGGUCUUGCUGUCACUUAUAGAUGGAUCCGCGCUGCAUUAGCUAGUUGGUAAGGUAACGGCUUACCAAGGCAACGAUGCAUAGCCGACCUGAGAGGGUGAUCGGCCAAACUGGAACUGAGACACGGUCCAGACUCCUACGGGAGGCAGCAGUAGGGAAUCUUCCGCAAUGGGCGAAAGCCUGACAGAGCAACGCCGCGUGAGUGAUGAAGGUCUUCGGAUCGUAAAACUCUGUUAUUAGGGAGGAACAUAUGUGUAAGUAACUGUGCACAUCUUGACGGUACCUAAUCAGAAAGCCACGGCUAACUACGUG
rnacentral:rRNA from 1 species